AGAGGAGAGCCAGAAAGAUUAUCUGUGGGCUACUAUGAAGAAAGGGUGAAAGAGCUGGACUGAGUUAGCUUGGAGAAGAAAAGGCUCUGGGGAGACCUUAUUGCUGCCUUCUGGUAUGUGAAGGGAGAGUAUAAGCUAGUCGGGGACUGACGCUUUACGUUCACUAAGAGUGACAGAACCAUGGCAUGGGUAAGGUUGAGCUCUAUUAUCUUUAAGCUUGAUUAUCUUUAAGGUCCCUUCCAAUCUAAGCCACUUUGAUUCUGUAAUCUGAGAAUGGCAAUACCCAUUUGCUGGCCCACCUGCAUGAGACUGCAUCACUUAGUGUAAACUCCAUACCAGAGGGACUCCAUCCACCAUGAUGGAGGGUUUCUUAUCCUUCUGUGCUGAGUUCCUGUCCUAAGCAAAGCAAGGAUGAAAGCUGCUGCUACUGAACAGAGCUGAAGCACUCAAGCAGUGGGUGCAGGAGUCAGCCUCAGACCCUCCUCAGUACCAGGGGUGCUUCACACUCUCUCUCUACCUUCUGUUUCUUCAUCAUGAAGUUUUGCUGUGGGAUGUAACUAUGGAAAGAUACGCUUCUCAUAACCCAGCUGGAAAGCACGAGAAAUACAUGGACUCACCAUGGGGAGAUACACGUUCCUGAGAUCUCACUUUGUAUCUGAUGUCUGCUUGACACUAAACUGUUGCUAUGCUGAUUCCACUCCAUUUGGCUGUUCAUUGCGAUGAAUAUAUGGGGGCUGUAUUUCCAAAUGUCCUGGGCACCCACAGCACUAAGAUCUGACCACCAGCUAGAUCCACCAGGCCUUGGAGUCCCUUGUAAAGCUAUGCUGAGAUGUUUGACAGAGAAUCUCAUCCUGACAAAACCCCAAGUCCCUGCAGAGUUACUACAGGGUGAGAAGAAACCUGAUGUGGAGGUGUUAAAGCAUCAUCGCUUUUGAAACUGCCUCUGGUGUGUGAGCUGAUGGGAGACCAAAAGCCUCUUCAACAUCUGACUAUUCCCUGCCUCUGCUUACUUGUCCACUUGAACCAGUUAUCUACGGGAGUCCUUAAUGUACCGGGAUGACCUAAAAAAGUGAUACUGCAAAACAAGAAAAUGGAAGUGUGCAACUCUCAAUGAGGACAGCUGGCAUCCCUCCUUUUCCCAUGAAAUGAGGCACACCUGGUAAAAGUGUUGCGCAUUCUGGGCCUGUGAUGAUCUGCAACCCCCUCAGUCUUCUGAAAGACCCAGUUCACUGCUGAGGUGCUCCUUGUGUCACCAUCUGCAUGGCCAUGAGCUGGGAAGGAGCUGAUCUUCUGAGCUGUGGGCAGCUCUACCUGUCUACAGAGCUAAAAGAGAAUGAAGUGCUGAUAAAAUGAAGCUGCAACCAUGGGCUAGGUCUCCAGAGAAGACAUCUCAGUAAAACCCAACAGUUUAAGCAAAAAAAAAAAAAAAAAAAAAAAAAGACAACAAUGAAUAUGACAAUAGUAUACCAAAAAUCACCCAACGCCUUUAGAAUUAUAAUGAAUAAAGGAGACGUGGCUGGACUAGUCCAAGAAGAAAUGACAAAGUUAAGUAUAGCUGCCUUUAUUUGAAGAUUAAAUUCUUCUUUCUCAGAACAGAUCUGAAAAAAUUAUCAGCCCUUGUUAUCAAAGUAUCACUAUCACAGUGAAACUUGGUGACGUUACGUUUCUGGCCUGAUUGUGGUACAGCUCUUUUAGCAUUAUAUGGCCUUUGGGAGAAUCUGAUCUCAGCACACAGUGGGCAGCAGUGCCUCAGUGACUUUUGCUUCUUAUUCUCUGCUGCCAGCCCUGCCCUGACUACAGGGCUGGUCACUGCAGUCAUCCUCAGACAGAUACCCCACUCUCUGACUUCGGAGUACCCACCUUAAAGCCUUUCAGUGUGUGGAAAUCUAAAGUCUGUUCACACUCUUGCAUCACUGUUCAGGAUUUGUAUAAAAGCAAAAGCAGUUUUCUUUCACCUUUGUUGCGUUCACAUUGUCUUCCACACCAAAUCCUUCUGGAAAAAGUGCCUGUUUUAAGUUUCUUGUGUUUUAUUGAGAGGUUGUGGUUUCUGUAGCAUUUCUGUUUCUAGCAGCGUGAGCCCGUGGACUAACCCCAGAUGUGUUCAUGGUUCUUCUCCAAAUUAAGCUAUGAGUGCGUGGAAUAGUUCAGGAUAUUAUGCAUCUCAUAAUGGAUAAAUAUAUGGGAUUCCUGCCAAAUUAGGGUGGCUCAGAAGCUGCAGCCCCAGUAGAAGAAGUAAAUCAGUUAGGAAGGUAAUGACUGCCUCACACGAUAUGCAUUCAGAACUUGGUGCAUAGACAAACAAGUUCAAGGAAUUGCACUCAUUUCCUUUGCUACUUUAUUUGAUUGUGCAGCAAGGGAGAGAGAAUGAGGUAACUUCAUUUGCAUUAAAAUUAUGAUCUCUGUUUUUCAAACCACUAACAGUCACAAAAGAUCAGGAAUAUAUACAAAACAUCCUAUUUAGGUGUUUUAUUUGCAAUGCUGUUUUUCAUCAGUUAUUAAUGCCAGCUAGAUCACAUUCCAUCAACAGAGUGUAGAAGUGACGGAUAACAAGCAGACAUUUAAGACGUGAUCCUAAAGAUACUGUACAGGCUGGUUUUACUGUGUGAUAGCCAACAGCUGCAAGGCCAGAAAAAUGUUAGGACUAACAGAACUGGAGCUGGACCCCUGCUAAUAGUCUGUAUGGGAGAAGAAGUGUUUGCAGCCCCACGCUUAUAAAAAGCAAUUAAGUCAGAGGCCAGAGAUGGUACAAGAGCAGAUUACAAAUCAUGCGAUUUUAAACCAGAUCACCUCUGAGAUUUUUAUAUUUGAUUUUCUGUGGAAGCCUUUAGGCUGUGCAUUUUCCACUUAUCUUCCUAAGCCACAGGAGCUUGGAAACUUGUAUUUUGUUUCCCAAGUGAAAGCUGAGAUGAUUAUGUACAGACAUGAGUUAGGAGCUCAGACUGCAGAAGGAAUGCCAAAUAUUUUGCAGGAGCCACUACUGAGAGCUUAAAAACAGUUUGCUUCUUGUACUGCUUUUUCUUAAGUAUUCACAUAAUCAAAGUAUAGGCUUAAGUGACGUGGGUUGGAUAAAUCCAAAUACACGAGUAUUUGGCUGAGCGCUUAUUGGUGAUACAAUGAAGUCAAGACUAAGAGCUGCCACUAUGGACAGCACCGUCUCUUGGCUAAUAAACAUCUCAUUGGCUCCUGCACAAUUUUUUCAAGUACAAAUGCAGCCAGCUUUGUUCUUGUCUGAAUAGCACCUCUUUUCCCUUCGUUUGACUUACAGCUGUGUCAGAAAGGGUUUAAAACAAGUUUUGUGUGGGGUCAUACUUACUUUGAGAGGUUGUUGGACUCAUUUGCUCUGUGGGCCCUCUGAUGUAUGGAGAUACCUGUGCAGCAGUGUCAGAAGCAGAGAUGGACACCACCUUGGACAAGUAGAUGCAAGAAGUGCCAUUCUGGUCCAUAGGGAUGUUCACAUGGAUCAAGAAGAACAUUCUAGCUUCUCAGGGGAGACUCAGCGUUCACACAACGCAGAGCCUGUGAAAUCAGUGUCCCCUCAGAGCAGGAAUAUUGUCCUCCCACUUUGGCUUCUCUAGGAGUCUUCUCUGAAAACGUACCUACUGUCUUCUUGAAUUUUGUGAGACUGAGUUUGGGCACUCUUGCAAUUCACACCUACCAUGGAAACUUACGGUGUGGAAAGAUUUUGAAUAUUUGCCUGCACCCCAGACUUUGUUUGUUUGUUUCUUCUGAUAAUCAGUAUAUAAUAACAGUACUCAUUUUAAAGUCUGUUUUGAAAUUUCCCUCCCCACCUUUCUCACCAUGGUACUACAGUGCUGCAGAUGUAGUGUUAUUGGUGCUACAGUGACUCCACAGCAGUUUCUGCAUCAAAGGAAAACAGGGCCCGAAUCAUGGCAGGAGGAAGAGCUGAAACACUAGAAACUCUCUCUGCAAAGGAAGGCCCUCUCCUCAUGACAAGGUUCUCCAUCACUGGAAUGAUACUAAGGAACAAAAUUCAGAUUUUCUUCUAUUAAACGCACUGAACUACAGUGAACUGAUGCCCAGCACUGAAGCAGCUUUACAGAGCUGUCAGGCACAAGCUUCCAUUAUUUGAGCAUACCAGGCUGGAGGAAUCCUUCGUGCGUUUUGGCACUGCUAGACCUUGUCAUCUCCUCAGUAUGAGAACAAGAAAAUGGGGAUGUAGUCAUAAGAAGACAGCAGCUGCCAGUAACAGAAUAGACCCUGUAGAGCUCAGUCAUGCAUAGAGAACCACUUCCCUACAUGAUAUUCUGGCAAGAGUAACCAGGAAAAUCAGAAGAUGCUGUUCCAGAUGUCAUAAAGACCACAGUAUAAAAAAAAACCCAACAUAAUCCUGCUUUGAAAAUUCACUGUAAAGAAAGGAAAAGACCGACUGCAUCUCUCUUGUAAUGAAAUCUUGCUUUGAGCCACAGGUCUCUGGGUGUCAAAGUAACUACUGAAGGAGCUUUCCUUUCAUGAAGAGAAAAACUUCAUCUCGGUAUGAAUGAUAUGUAUCCCCUAUUGUAUUGGAGGAUGAGAAAUCUGUGACAAAGCCCAUGCCUUUGGUGGUGCCCUGUCUACUAUGGAUCCCAGGAUAAACCCAGCAGGAGACAUGCUUUUGGCACUCUUAGUUGCCUCUGAAAGACACCUUCAGCUCACUUCCAAGCUACUUGCUUUCAAUGGCUUUGAUAAGAAUUCCUGGGAGAAUGAAGGAAGCACUUUCUUUUUGGAUACCACCUGAGGACCUUGCCUAUACCUUCUUACUGCUUUAAGAGUAAAAAUUGAUCCUGUUGCAAAUAUGUAGUUUUCUUCUGAUAAUUAUGAGAAAAUUAUUAUCUCCUUUAUGUCUGGAAAGUCCAACAUACUAGAGAUUAUUAAUACACAUUUGAUAGAAGAACCUUGCAGAACCAGCUUACAGCACUGGUUUGGGCUUUACUACAGUAUCUUACUAUAAAAAAAUCUGUUCUUUAUGUACUUCUGACAAGCCAAUUCAGUGCUGAACAUAAAGAACAUGGAUGAACUUCUCAUUCUACAGAAAUUGCCACUAAUUUAAAUCAAAUGCCAGAAUUUGAUCCUGGAUUAGCCAGCAGUCUUGUUUUUAUGUAUGCUUUUGUUGCAGGGAAUGAAAAUAUGAUUUGAGAGCACUAAUAGCAACUGCCUUAGAUAAAAGCACAAGUGAUUACCUAGAGAAGAGUUGAGCUGCCUACCUGGAAAACGUGUUGUUUAAAGAGUUGUUUUCACACCCACAUUCAUCCAUUUAGCCCAAAGCAUCAGAGUCAUCCAAGCUCUGAGAUCUGGAGCAAUGAUUUCAAGUUUUCACUUUUUUGAGCCAGACUGUGAAGAUGAUUGAGCUAAAGUAAUUUUUUUACAACUCUUGUCACAAUUUUCAUGACAUAAUGGAACUUCCAGACCUACUUCAGUUCUAUCUAGCAAUUAUUGGGUUGUUUAGUCUUUUAAAUCAUGACACUUCUAAGCACAUCAAAGGAAAGUGCCGUUAGACAACUGUGCAGUCAGAUCUUUUCAUCAUUCCUCAGGAAGUCAACAUGUUUCUGAAAGAUUGCCCAGGGAGUAUUGUGAAGCACUCAAUAUUUCAAUGAAAUGGUAUGAAUUUUAUGUAGGUGAGGCAGAGCCUAGUCAUGGCUAGCAAGAAAUUCUUUAAAAAAGUUAGUAAUUAGAGAUAAUGACAUAAACCACUGAAUAUAUUUCAAAGAUGGCAUUUGCCUUUUUGAUUUUCAUGCCUAAUUUGUCUGUUUAUGAAAUGAAAUCCAGCUGUUCCUAUAAUAUUUAAUACAAUUUCCACCCCUGUAGGGAAAGCAUGGGGUAUCCAGAAUUCCCCAUUAUACAUGACAAGCAGAAUUGCUUCUGGAAUUUGUGUCUGUCUGUGUACAGCACUACAAGGCUUCUGUCUGAGAGAAGGAAGGUUCAUGUAGGUGAGUUAAUGGAGGCACAAGGUUUCACAGCCCAAUUAGAAACAAUGAUAGGUAAUUCAUUCUUAAUAUUUUUGAGCUAAAAGAGCUCUGUCAGUAUCCCCCAAAAAUUAUACUGAAAAAAUUUCUAAACAUUUUUUGAUGAGGAAAGUUCACAGUGCUUUGUGUCUGAAGUAUGUACUUGCAUGCAAAGUUGUGGCUUUAAUCCUUUCUCCUCCCUCACCUUUGUUGCUCUCUCUUUCAGUAGCUAUUUCCUGUAAGUGUCAGAUUACCUGCUUGGUCGCACCAAAAAAGUUCACAGCCUGUUUUGUAGGCUACUCUCUUGAGAGGAGAAGAAAAGAUAUUCAUUUUCUGAGUGGCAGAAAUUUUGAGUAUGCUGAACAUGUCAACAAAGCACAUUGUGCAGCAAGCUUGUUUGGUAGGACAGCAGAUGAAAAAAUGGUUUUUCCUUCCUUAUUCUUCAUCAGGAUUUCCAGCCUGUACUUGGGAAACUAAUUCUGUCAGAACUGGUUUCAGAAGUUCUAUUUUGGUUUUCAACAAUCAGCUGAUGGUUUCUCUAGAAAAUGCCAAACCAGCUCUGCGUUUGAUCUUGGUGAUGUCUUGUGACAAAGAGUUCUUUGGAGUUAAUGCAUUGCUGCACAUUGUAAUUGAAUGUUCUUUAGCUCCUGUAUUGUCAGAAAACAUAAAUGGAAACACUCACUAUUCACUGUUUGCUGUUAUUUAUGUUCUCUCUAACAAGGGAGAAAAAGUACAAAUAGUUUUCAUAGAUUUGUGUAAUGUUAAUCACUAUCUUUUAUUGUUCUGCUUUCAGUUGCUGCUGUUUGAAGUCAGAUUACUUUGUCUUUAAAUCCCAGUUGCCUUGAAACUUCUUCUAAUGCAGGCAUAGAAUUUGCCUCUUUUAGCUGUUUUACUAGGAGAUUUCAAGGAGAAAUUGAAUGCUUUUGCUGCUAAAUUACUUGAUUCUGAUGUUGGCUCCCAGGUCUCAGAUGUAUACUGUGUGCCCUAACAUUGCAUGCCCUUGGUAACUACUUGUUCUUUAAUUUCUAGUUUUAAAGUACCCAAAGCAGAGAAGAUAAUAACUGACGUUAGUCCUUGUAGUCUACACAAAAGAGUGAUCAGAAAGCUCUCAUAACCGGAGGAACAGAAGAUGCAGACUCAAGCUCAGUGCUCAGAUUCACAGUAUUUAAGCUUGUAUAACUAGAUACACAAAUGGACCGUGGUAGCAUAUUGACAUGCUAGACACUGAAGCCCAUAUUCAUAUAUCACUGAAACCCUCAAACCCACUUGCUGAGGUCCUGCUCUAUGGCCCCAGAUGCUGAUAUUUCUGAUGGCUGGCACUCACAUAAUCCUCCAAUUAAUGUACCGCAAAAUAUCUGAUUUGCAAUAAAAGGUUUUCAAAGCAGACUCACAGAAAUUCUCCAGUGUUGGACCUCAUACAAUGCAUAACUGAGGACAAGACAUGCUUAUUCCAGUGUCUACAGCCUUGGGGCUUAGAUGCUUUCCUUGAGGCUAUGAGAAUUCUUUUUACCUCUGCAUGGAGCUUUGUCCAUUUCAUAUCUCAGCUGAACCUAUUAAGUUUUAGGAAAAUUGCGUGCAAGAUCAGAUCCAGUCUAAGAGCUCUAAACAGAUCAUCUCUUGCAAAUACAGUGUUCUGUGAUAAUGCUGGAGCUGAGCAACUUGGGGUAGAGAGUAGGGAGGUCUCUAUCUGGACAUAAGCCCAGAGGACAAGACACUGGAGCAAAUGGCUCCCGCUGCCUAUUUUGUCAGCUUCUCUGCUGGCCUUACAUAAAUAUGUUUUCCUAUUCCUGUUCUUGUCUAGCCUAAUCUGAGUGUUUACUCCUACUCUCUUAACCUUUAUUCCUGCCAUUCCCUUUGUCUGUACUUCUCUAUCUACUGUGGUCCUCCAUUUUCUAAUUCAGGUCCUAGUGCUGCAUGUCUAUACAAGAUGUCCAAACAAAAUCAAUGAGGGAAGUCUGAUACUGACGUACAUUUUCUCUACACCAUUAGCAGCAAAAUAGGUGUGACUAUUCAUACAAGCUGAACACUUUAACAUUAGAAGUCAAAGGCUUUAUUGUCUUUGCAUGAGGAGUCUUUUCAGGAGAAUUUAGCACCGUUUGAGCUAUCCCUACACAUAUCAUUCAUUAACUUCUGACUACUUACUAAACGUUAUUUGUGCAAUGGACCUUAAAGCUAAUAUUUCCGCCCUACUGUAUAUUCCAGUUACACUCAUCACUAUAGAGAACUCUACCUUGCUGGGUACACAGUUUGUUUUUUCAUCUGCUGUCAUUUUAGAUUUGUCAUUUCAAAAACCUCUUUGAACCUGGAUUUGUGUUAGCUAAUGACACAGAACCUCUCUGCAUACAGCUAGGCAGGAGCAGCAUAUUAGCACAAAGACAGGUUUGUUCUCAGCAGGAGGUUUGUUUGUUGGUUUUGCUUGCAGUGGCAGAAAGGUUUUCCUCCAUUUGCAGGGAUGGCAGUGUUACUUCAGUUUUUUUACUUCAUUUUUUGUCAAGUAAGAGUUCUUGCAGGUGGCAUCCAGACUGACACAACUACAUUAAAUCUACCAAAUUCACAGAAUCAUAAAAUACAAUCAAAGACUCAUUUGAGGUAGAAGAAACCUUUAAAGGCCAUCUAGUCCAACUCUCCUGCAAUGAAUAGAGACACCUAGAGCUCCAUCAGGUGCACAGAGCCCUGUCCAGCCUGACCUUGGAUGUUUCCAAGGGCAUGGCACCCACCACCCCUCUGACCAAGCUGUUCCAGUGCCUCACCACGCUUAUCAUAAAAACAUUUUUCUUACAUUCAGUCUAAAAUUGGUCCUUCAAUGUCUACAUGUGCGUGUACAGUCAUAGAGGGGUUGUUUUAAAGACAAUGAAUUUUAUUUUCUCUUUGAGAUGUUUAUGGGUACUUGUGCCUUGGAUAGGUCUAUUAAAGUGCUGACUGGAAACAUUUAAAUUGGACGGUGAAGUUAAUUUAAUUUUAAAAUUAGCUGAAGUCCAUUUGCUGAGUUGCUGCUUUUCUUUCUCAAGUAAGCUGUUCUAGUUUCUGAGUUAUUGGUUGAAAUAUGAUUACUGGCACAUCAAACUAGCAACAAUUGCCUUGCUUUUGCCUUUUUCAGCUUUAUGAGGUCUAGUUUAUUAGACACAGACCUUUGAGAAGGCAGAAUAACUGUACUGUAUCCCAACUGCUUUUCUUCUGCAUCGUGGAAAAAGCUAUAAAGGAGCUGGUAGAAAGAUGCUGCAGUAAUUAUUUUCAGGCAGCACCACUGCUGGGAUACUAAAGGAAAGGGAAAAUACAAAUUCACCACAGAAAUCAUAAUUAACAUGUAUCUUAUAAGUUUGGUUUGCACUGAUUGGACAAAUGCAGAUAUGAGUAUAAAAACUUAAGUGAGAAAGGAAGCACUUUGACAUGCUUGAGACAAACUUGAAACUUCUAUCAGCCCGUGUGUGAAUCUAGGGAAGGAGAAUGGGAACACUGCUACCAUAAAAUCAUCUUGUGGGCAGAAAGGAAGCACCAAGUUUCUUCUGUCCAGUAUAGUUAAUGUCUGGUGCCCUACUGGGGCAGCAGUGAGACAUCUGUGCCAUGAGCCCCUUGGUGGGAGAACCAGGAUGUCACGUGAAUGGCUCUUCCUUGUUCUGAUAUCCAUUUAGGGUGAUUUUUGUGUUUGCUCAUGUGCUUGUACACUCUGGCCUCCGUUUGUUUGCAGCUCCAUUUUUGAUGUAAUCUUCCUAUACACGGUGCCUUUUAGGUAUGCUAUAUACUAUUUCUUUGACGUCUCUGUUACUCUUAAAUUAGGCUUGGUCUGGCUCCAGUUCUGCACGUCUUUAACUCAUCACAGAUGAGACAUUUAUAGCGUUGGGCCAUCUUCUGUCAUCCCAUGCCCACACUCCUCUGCAGGUCCUGCUGUAGUCUCUACGCAGGUGACAGGCCUCUGCUGGGGAGACAGGCUUCUACUUCUCUCUACCAUAGCAUUGACUUACAGUCAGAAAUAGCCCAGCCUACACAGAAUAGCUACUUGUUACUACUCUCCCUAUAAAAACCAGGGUCCUAAAAGAUAAGGAAAACUAAAACAAAUUAUAUGUAGCCACCUGGCUGGAAGAAAAAUUGUUGAACUGAAUUAAAGCAAAGCUCCAGGCAGAUCCUGAAACAUUCAGACAAAGCAAGCGUGACAAGCCUCAAUCCUGAGGUCUGGAGACAUCAGUACAAACCCCGUGGCCAACAGCAAUACAUAUGUUGUAUUACUGGCAAUACAAAUGUUGAAUUACUGGGCUAUUGUGUUAUAGCACUGAGAUGAAAGGAUGCGUAUAAGUGUAUGGGGUCACAGGGGGCAGCUUAGCUUGUGAAAGAAGGAGCUGGAGGACAUCACAAAGUUCUCAGGCAGCAGAGUGGAUUAACCAGCACACUCAGGGCAGAUAUUUGCAUCGGCCUCUUGAACGGAAGUGCCCAAAUCUCUCUCACCGAGUCUUUGAGUGCUACUUUGAUUUGACUCUUGGUGCACUAACAGCAGCUGUUGUGCAGGAGCUGCUGGGUUUAAAAUCAAGUUCAGCAGUUUUUGGCUCCAGGCCAGCAUACAGACUGUGAGAUCUGACGCGGGAAAACAGACAUGAGCUCAAAAACCAAAUCCUGGGAGGGUGUUCUCUCUCUAGCAUUUUGCUCUUCUCUAAAUCUUUAUUUGGAAACUUCUGGAAUUGAAGCAUAUUAAUGCUGUGGAGCUUUAAAGUGAAACCCGAGAUGAUUUUUUAUCACAGGGUACAAAAUGUUCUGAAGGGGCAAAGCAGGAUUUGAGGUGUGAAGAAGCCUGAUUUUUCUCAUAUACAGCUAUUCAUAAAGGGAAUUAAUUGUUGUCCAGAUAUGUUUAUCCAUUUAUAUUUAUCCAUUGAAAUGUUGGUAUUUUCUAUGCUAAACAUUUUCAUAGUAAUACAGAUGGCAUUAAAAUACCUCAAAAAACAGAAGCAAACAACAACAACAACAACCAAACAGAAACAGCAACUAGUAAAAAUAUGUUAUGACUUCACUGCACAUGGGAAGGUUAAAAGGCAAUUAUACUUUAUGAAUUUAACGUUUUGUCAGUGGAAAUCUGUCUCUGAUGUUUGCAAAAAUAUUCCAGUUUAAAUGUUUAAAUUUCCAUCAGUGUGGGAUAAUUUCAUUCUUUUCAUUGGCAUCAAGGGACUAUUCAUCCAUAGUGUUUGAUGCAGCUGCUCUGCUCCCCAGAACUAAGGAUAUAUUAUAUGUUGCUUAUUUCUUUGGUCACACUUUUUGUAUUAUAUAGCUUAUUGUCUUGGUGAUCUUUCCAUUAAAAUGGUUAAUGUGAUGAGAGGAAGAAAGAAGGAAAAUCUGUGAGGGUCUUAGCUUCAGAUACAGAUAUAGUUGCUCAAGGCUUAAUAUGAGACUCUGUCCUCCUUCAGUCAAAGCAGCUCAUUUUAUGGUAGCUGUAGACUGACUGAAGUCAUGGUGGGAACAGGUUGCCCAGAGAGCUGGUGGAUACCCUGACCCUGGAGGCACUCAAGGUCAGGCUGUACAGCUCUGAUGGAGCUGUAGUUGUCCCUAUUAAUUGCAGGGAAGUUGGACUAGAUGGCCUGUAAGUGUCCCUUCAACUCAGAUGAUUCUAUGACUAUGAUUCUAUGGUUGUUAGGAGCUGUAUGACUGUCUUAAAUGAAAAAGGCAAUGAGAUGCUGCAAAAGUGCUGUUUUUCCACAGUUCCAGUGAGUGAACAUGUUUUGUCAUUUGCAUUCCUUUCAUUUAACAGGGGCAGAUAGAGAUGAGUUAAGAGAGGAAAUCAUCAUUAUGACUCAGCGCCUGUACAGCAGUAGGAGAUUUCAGUUGAAGCACAAAGGCGCAGACUGUUGAAGGAGCAGAUGCAGACAGGGCAAUGGUUCAUGAGCAAAUUGAUGACUUGAUGGUAGCUCAGAAACCAGGAGCCUUGUUCCAGUGGCGAUGUCAAAAUUACAAACUGUGUGUUGUAAUUAAUAAAACCCUUUCCAUCAGAGAGCUGGAUUUAAGGGCUUUGGCACAAGUGCAGUUAGCGUGCAGAAGAUGUAUGUUUCUUUCUCCUAGUGAUGCUAGAACAAAUAGCCCUGAUUUGCACAGUGAGUGGCAGAAAUUAGAAAAGAUAUAUGGGAUUUUAAGCUUAAUUCCUGUCAUUUAGACCUCUGGCUUGUGGUUGAGCAGUGGAGUUAGGAAUGUGAAGUAAAAAUGAAAUUAAAAAUAUCCAGUAGAGAAAUAGGCUGAGAGCACUGUACAGUUCUCUUAGGGAGAUUUGCCUUCUGUUUUACUGUGAUGAAAGAGUUCUUUCAUGCUGGUAGUAUGUGAGACCCUUUGUUUCCAUGCUGUAGACAGGAACAAGAGCAGAGUCAUAGUUUGAGCUGAUUGGAGCAUGUUGCUUUGCUGUUUGGGUGCCAUCAUGGUUUGAUGCCAUAUUUCCAAGUAAAACUGCAGGUUCUGGGUAACAAAUUCUGCCAGGAGAAGGUGAAUUUUCUGCAUGAGUGCCAGGUAUUGCUUCAUCUUCACAGCUUUCCCUUACCAACUUUCAUUUUAGGAAAAAAAAAGGAACACCUCUCUUAACAUUUAUAUUCACUCCUUGACUUACUACCUUUUUGUUUUCAGACAUGAAGGGGUGAUGGGGCAAAGCAUCCCUCUCUGCAGAUCAUUCCCAAGCUCAGGUGCUGUGAGAUGGGGCAUAGAUUCCCUUGUACCACGUACAGCAAGAGGUAAUGCAACCACCUGAGAGGAGGGACACAAUUGCCAGUUAGCGCUGUCACUGAUUUAGGAAGCGGUUUAUAUCAAUCUUUGCAGACUGACUGAAUCACGGCUGUGGUUUGGUGGCACUUUCCCGGCAUGGGCUGAAAAAGCUGUCACGCUGAAAAUGAUGUGAAUGGUCAUUAGAGAGCUCCUGCUGUCCCCUAGGGAGGUGAGCUAACCAAGGUGCUAUUGCGUCAUUCUCCCCUCAUGAGCUGGAAGGUGACGAAGUUAGGGGAACGUGACCUGUAGCAGUUGUGUUGAAUGUGAAAAGUGUGGCAUGGUGCCUGUUGACUUUAUUUACCUGACUGUUAUCUCUGGACUUCCCUCCAACUAUACAUUGUUUAAGAGGAAUUUCUCUAGAGAUUACAGAGGUAAGACAUCUGUCUUAACACAAGGUUUAUUACUUUUCUUAGUGUUCUUUCCAUGUUUUUGAUGUGAAUUGACAGAGGAAUUAAGCAGCAAGAAUUAAAUGACAGAAACAUUUUACGUUGGAUGUCAGAAGAUAUCUCUUCCCAGCAUGACUGUUGUGUGCUCUGCUCAGUACAGACUUCCUCUGAUCACUGGCACGUUGAAGAAGUCCCUCCUCCAAGAUUUCUGUAAUAAUGUGAAGAUGAAAGACAGAAAUCAAGACUAUGUGAAAUGUUGAUUGGGGGUCUGAAUUUAACUGGCAAAAGAGAUUAGUUCCUGAAAAUUACAUUAGCAGUGGCUUGAAAACCUAUUCAAAUAAAAAAAAUGAGUAAGGAACUCUGGAUUACAGUCAUACUUGUAUUUUUGAAAGACAAAGAGGGAACCAGAAAUGCUAUAUUGUUAAGCUUCAUAUUAAGCAAUGCCUAACAUCAGUUGGAUUAAAAUUAAGGAUAAAAAAAUAGCAUUUGGCUAAGUCCAAUAGUAAAUAUUCCUUUGCUUGAAACUAGAUGAUCAUUGUAGUCCUUUUCAACCCAGGCCAUUCUAUGAUAUGAUUCAAAGAAAGGCUUCACACCUAACCUUCCUGGCCUUUGCACUGACUAUUCAAGCUCUGCCAGUAGCACCUGUCCUUUUUUCCCACUUCUCAUUUUCUUCCACUUGUCUCUUUAUGUUCUUCUGAAACAAAGCAAUCUUAUAGAACCCCAGCACCCUUUAUCCCUUCUUCUGCCCAAACGUCCCCAGGGUGUAAAUUCCAAGAGAUAUUGGUUGCCAGGUAUUCAAGGAUGACUGCCACACAUUGUUUCUUUCUUUCUGGGUUACCAUUUUCAUUCUGGCUCUGCUAUAAGGUAUCUGUUUUGUUCUCUCUUGCCCGAUUUUAGCUGUGUAUUCUCAGUCUGAACCUCUUAAAUAUUUUCAAUCUGUACUGUACGUCUAAAUCUUAAUGAAAUAUACAGAAUUGCUAUAUUUUAUACUUCAGAGCUAUACCCAUAAUAAGAAGAAAAAAAUUCUUUAUUUUUCUUCAGCGAAACUGAUGAACUAUAAAUGGUUUGCUUUUUGGCUUAUAUUUGUUAAAAUUUGGCAAGACAUCUGCACCAUGAAAAUUUAGAGACUGAAAAUCAAAUAACAUAUUGGGGAUUCUUCCUCUCUUGCUCCGGUACAUACAUCCUCUGUUAUCACUCUGUCCUUCACCAGAAAGUGAAUCUAUUCAUAAUUAUAAUAUUUUUUAACACUUUGACACGCUAAAUUACCUCCACAACACAACUCUCCCAGAUAGAACAGAAGCUUAUGCUAUAUGUCAGCUCUACAUCUUGUUUCACAGCUCAGGUGGGUAACUGUUGGCAGCUGCAUGUAUAUGGAUAUGACAGUGAGUGUUUUAUACCAGAUUCCCAUUUAAGGCCUCAACCAAAACCUACUGCAGCCAAGAAACACAUAUACAGAUUAUAUAGAAUCAUAGAAUGCUUUAGGUGCCUUCCAACCCAAACCAUUCUAUGAUUCUGGGAUUCUAUGACUUCAGUGGGACUGAUUCAACUGAAGUUGAAUCUUAAGGCACUUAAGUUUUUUUUCCAUCAGCCCUUGCCAUUUUUAAUUUUCUACUUCUGCACAAAUUAUGUGUCUACUGCCUUGACAGCAUUCUUGAUAUACUUGGAAUACCUAUGGAAAAUGAUAAUGUCAGCAAUACAGCAAUUAAACUGGUUUUUUUUUUGUUUGUUUUGUUUUGUUUUCUGGAUGAGAGCAUAUGUCAUUAAAUUCUCAUUUCAAAUUGUAACCCAACAGGAGUUUGUAAAUUAACCCAGCUUCUAUAAAGCAACACAAGACUAUUCUUUGAAUAAAAAUUACAUUUCACUGAA